UUAAAAGCUUGCUUUUAAAAGGUUAGCGGCGGACGGGUGAGUAACACGUGGGCAACCUGCCUGUAAGACUGGGAUAACGCCGGGAAACCGGGGCUAAUACCGGAUCGUUUUUUCCUCCGCAUGGAGGGAAAAGGAAAGGCGGCUUCGGCUGCCACUUACAGAUGGGCCCGCGGCGCAUUAGCUAGUUGGCGGGGUAACGGCCCACCAAGGCAACGAUGCGUAGCCGACCUGAGAGGGUGAUCGGCCACAUUGGGA
rnacentral:rRNA from 1 species